GAUGAACGCUGGCGGCGUGCCUAAUACAUGCAAGUCGAGCGAACGGACGAGAAGCUUGCUUCUCUGAUGUUAGCGGCGGACGGGUGAGUAACACGUGGAUAACCUACCUAUAAGACUGGGAUAACUUCGGGAAACCGGAGCUAAUACCGGAUAAUAUUUUGAACCGCAUGGUUCAAAAGUGAAAGACGGUCUUGCUGUCACUUAUAGAUGGAUCCGCGCUGCAUUAGCUAGUUGGUAAGGUAACGGCUUACCAAGGCAACGAUGCAUAGCCGACCUGAGAGGAUGAUAGGCAACAAUGGAACUGAGACACGGUCCAGACUCAUACGGGAGGCAGAAGUAGGGAAGAGUCAGCAAUGGGCGAAAGCCUGAAGGAGCAACGAAGAGUGAGUGAUGAAGGUAUUCGGAUCGUAAAACUCUGUUAUUAGGGAAGAACAAAUGUGUAAGUAACUAUGCACGUCUUGACGGUACCUAAUCAGAAAGACACGGCUAACUACGUG
rnacentral:rRNA from 1 species